rnacentral:rRNA from 1 species
UACGUAGGGGGCGAGCGUUAUCCGGAAUUACUGGGCGUAAAGAGUGCGUAGGUGGCCAUGCAAGCGCAGGGUUUAAGGCUAGGGCCUAACCGUAGUUCGCCUUGCGAACUGCUUGGCUUGAGUACAGGAGGGGAAAGCGGAAUUCCUAGUGUAGCGGUGAAAUGCGUAGAUAUUAGGAGGAACACCAGUGGCGAAGGCGGCUUUCUGGACUGAAACUGACACUGAGGCACGAAAGCGUGGGUAGC